UGGGCAAAUUCCCAUCAGGAUAUUGCUCAACUUACCAUAAUCCACCCGUAUCACUGCUAAUGAACCACACAAAGACAAUCGGUGAUAUCUAUUGGUUAUGUGGGGAUAAACAAUUGAGGUCCCAAUUAACUGGGCAAUGGUGGGGGGAGUGUGCGCUAACUAAAGUCAUAAUGCCUAUCCAUAUCAUUCCAGAUGGUGACCAUAACACGUUAAACC